CCAAAACUCUUUCCCUUGUGCCCUAUGUCACCUCCAAACCACUCUUCCCAACAUCUGGGUUCUUACUGCCACCAGCUGCCUCCAACACCUGUAGCUUCACCACCCAGCCCUGAAAACUACGACCCUUAACCACUGCACUCAACCCUCAUCACCAUGCCUUCCUGAUUUAUAGACAUCCC